AACCGAGCCCCCGGGGGUUCCGGCGGGGAACAGGAAAGGUCUGGCGGAGGCCGAUAAGGGAGUCCGGAACCAGGGCGAGGCGUUGCUAAGGGGCGGUUGCUAGGGCGGUGCUCGGGGACUCGCUCUAUAUAAGGGCCGUGGCCGCAACUGGCCCCGUGUUCCGGUUUCCCGGCUGGCCUGUUUGUCUAGGAUAAUCGCGCCGUGGAGCCCCGCUUCUCGUCACGUGUGCCCCACAGCCAAUCCGCUGUUUUGUUGUUGGAAGGCGGGCGCUGAGGCCCGCCGAGAACGGAGCAGGGUCGGGACAAUCUGGCCGCCGGGGUUGGGGGAGGCUUUGUGCUUCGGCUCAGCUCGCCUGCCCUACCCGGGCCCGCCGCGGGCCACCAUCGGGCUCCCUCCCCUGAACGAGAGCUAGCCUCAGGUUGCACGCCCCGCACGUCCCGACUGCUUUCCGGCUGCGCCCUGCCCCCAUCAGGAGGAGUUGCUCAUCCUAGAGGAGACACACUGGCCGUCCUCCUCUACACCAACCUUAAAGAGUGAUUUCCAGGUUUACAGAAAAAAUGUUUGGUUACUCCUGCUCAUACUAUGCCAUUUCAGUAAAUGCAUUGCUUUGAGCUAAUGGUAUCACCUGGCUGAUGAAUACACAGAUUUCAAGAAUCACCUAGAGCACUGAGAGUGACUUGCCUG